rnacentral:rRNA from 1 species
AUUGAACGCUGGCGGCAGGCCUAACACAUGCAAGUCGAGCGGUAGCACAGAGAGCUUGCUCUCGGGUGACGAGCGGCGGACGGGUGAGUAAUGUCUGGGAUACUGCCUGAUGGAGGGGGAUAACUACUGGAAACGGUAGCUAAUACCGCAUAACGUCGCAAGACCAAAGUGGGGGACCUUCGGGCCUCAUGCCAUCAGAUGUGCCCAGAUGGGAUUAGCUGGUAGGUGGGGUAACGGCUCACCUAGGCGACGAUCCCUAGCUGAUCUGAGAGGAUGACAAGCCACGCUGGAACUUCGACACGGUCCAGACUGCUACGGGGGGCAGCAGUGGGGACUAUUGCACAACGGGCGCAAGCAUGAUGCAGCCAUGCCGCGUGUGUGAAGAAGGCCUUCGGGUUGUAAAGCACUUUCAGCGGGGAGGAAGGCAUUAAGGUUAAUAACCUUAGUGAUUGACGUUACCCGCAGAAGAAGCACCGGCUAACUCCGUGCCAGCAGCCGCCGUAA